rnacentral:rRNA from 1 species
UACGUAGGGUGCAAGCGUUGUCCGGAAUUAUUGGGCGUAAAGAGCUCGUAGGCGGCCUUGCACGUCGGAUGUGAAAGCCUGGGGCUCAACUCCAGAACUGCCUUUAAGACUGCAUCGCUUGAGCACGGGAGAGGUGAGUGGAAUUCCGAGUGUAGAGGUGAAAUUCGUAGAUAUUCGGAAGAACACCAGUGGCGAAGGCGGCUCACUGGACCGUAGUUGACGCUGAGGUGCGAAAGCGUGGGGAGCAAACAGG